rnacentral:snRNA from 1 species
GAAUGUGAGGGUGAUCUGGCUGCGACAUCUGUCACCCACUGAUUGCCAGGGUUUAUUCAGCUGGCUAGGCUGGUCAGUGACCCUUCCUCCCUCACCCUCUAUUUGCAACCCUCCCUGAAGCUGCAGGUUCAGGUCAAAGAGGACAGUCACUCCAAUGGAGGAGGACCCUUUCUUCAGUCAAGAGUAUACAAGUACCUGUGCUUCCUGGCAAAAACCUCCAAGCAAGCUCUCUCAAAAUAGGAAAGAAAAUAAAUAAGUAAAUAAAAGCCCACUGUUU